GGCCCGUCCGCGGCAGCGCCCUCGGCCCGCGCCCCCAACGCUCUGCGGAAACGGGCCAGCGGAGGGCGCACGGCGCCGCGGAGGUCUCGGCCGGGCAGGCUCAGGCGCGGCAGGGUCGCAUGGCCUGUCCCGCCCGGGAGGGGCACGUUCUGAUAGGCCGGUGACCAGAGGGACACCGACUGCCGGUAGGAGCGGAGUCUGCAGACAAGCAAGUCUGCAAGGCGGCCCGCGGAGCCUCAGCACCGAGGACAGCGCUCAGGCAGCCCAGCCCACUGUAGUACAGCGUCCUAGGCCAGGCCGGGGCUAAGACCAGAACCCAGGAAGAAGAGGUGAGCAACCAGAGAGCGGAGAUCAAGAAGCACAGGCUGGAUGGGGAGACUGCCUGUCCCAUGUCCCUGGGCCCAGAACUCGGCAGCUGGGAUGUGUCCGUGUCUGUGGCAGUCCAGCUGUACCAUGAGCAGCUGCACGCGCGUCCUGGCCUGUCUGCGGACCUGAUCCGGCAGCCAGUCCCAGGCCCUGUCCACCUCUACACCACCUCUCUGCUGCAGGAGCAUUCUGGGUCCCUGUGCGGCUCCUGGCAGCCUCCUCUCCACAGUGACAUCACGGGACACUUUUAGCCUGGCCUCCUGCAGGAUGUCGCAUCCGGUUACUUUUCCUAUGGAUGUCUCUGCUACUUGUGAAUAUUCAAAUUCAAAAACUUGGGCUGUAGUUGUGACUCAUUACCGCUUGCUUCACUGUUUUUUGUUUUUCUCUGAACGUGGCUUGGCUUUUCCUUAGUUAUAGGGACAGGAUGGUCCUGGGCCUGCCUGUUGGAUCAUGGCCAGUUUUCUUUCUUCUCCGGGCCUGUCCCCUGUGCUGGGUAGGGGGACUUGCUGUUUCUGUCCUGUCCCCAAAGUCUUCUUCCCCUUUGGGUUUCCAUCCAUGGACCAUUUGUGGACAUGGGCAGCUGUGACUUGGAGGCCUCCAGCCUUACUGGAUGUGGCAGCCAUGCGGCCCAGGAAGAAACCGAGGCUCAGAGAUGCCCAGGCCAGGCUGGGGGCCCUGGGACUUUCCUCUUAGGAAGGUCGGCUACAGUAGUGGCCAGCUCUGUUUACCCCUGUCUCGACUCACUCCAGUAUCUCUUAGAGGGACAGCAGGCAGGCAGCAGUUUUUAAGUUCUGGCACAGAGUCCGGCCCAGAGAAUGCAGAGACCAUGAUGCCAUUCGACAGGAGACAACUUCAGGGCGAACACCGGCCUUAGGCCACACAGCAGUUUUGGCUUCUUCACUCCCAUUCGUUCGUUCACUCUGUGUCCAGCGCCCCCUGCAACCAGGGAGGCUGGGGAGACUAAUCGGAAGCAGCAGUAACAGCAGUCUCGCGCGGUGAGCCUGGUAACAGAUGGAUGACCCUAGCCUAAGGCUAAGAAGCCCUCCUAAGACAGAAGAUAUUCAAUCUGGGCCUUAAAUCUUGGGGUAAGAAUUUUCCAGGCAUCGAAGUAGGGCAAAGAUACCUGGCUUUGUUUCUGUCGUGCCACGCAGCCAUCAGCAAGCCUCUGCCCUUUCUGUGGUCAUGGGUACAAGUGAUGCCAACCUGGAGGCUUCUGGGUACGAAGACCAACUAGCCAUGACUCUACUGUCUUUUAAUCAUCACAGUUCAGUGACCACCCUCUACAUCUGUAAAGCCCGGCGUCCACUCUGGGUCCAGUCUAUGCCCCAACAUUUUCAACACUUUUACAUUGACAGUUUCUCACAUU
ensembl:lncRNA